rnacentral:rRNA from 1 species
UACGAACUGUGCAACCGUUAUUCGGAUUCACUGGGCUUAAAGGGUGCGUAGGCGGCCAUGUAAGUAGGGUGUGAAAUCCCCCGGCUUAACCGGGGAACUGCGCCCUAAACUGUGUGGCUUGAGUGAGAUAGGGGUGUGUGGAACUUCCGGUGGAGCGGUGAAAUGUGUUGAUAUCGGAAGGAACGCCGGUGGCGAAAGCGACACACUGGGUCUCAACUGACGCUGAGGCACGAAAGCCAGGGGAGCGAACAGG